CCAGGGGAAGGUUCGUCCGCCCUGGGUUAGUCGGGACCUAAGCUGAGGCCGAAAGGCGUAGGUGAUGGACAACAGGUUGAUAUUCCUGUACUACCGAUAACCAUUUGAGAGAAGGGAUGACACAGUAGGAUAAGCUAAGCACACUGUUGGUUAUGUGUGCCCAAGCAUUGAGGCAGUCAAAGUAGGCAAAUCCGCUUUGAUAAUG
rnacentral:rRNA from 1 species